rnacentral:rRNA from 1 species
UGAGGGAUAUUGGGCAAUGGGGGAAACCCUGACCCAGCGACGCCGCGUGAGGGAAGACUGUCUUCGGAUUGUAAACCUCUGUCUUUGGGGACGAAAAAGGACGGUACCCAAGGAGGAAGCUCCGGCUAACUACGUGCCAGCAGCCGCGGUAAUACGUAGGGAGCGAGCGUUGUCCGGAAUUACUGGGUGUAAAGGGAGCGUAGGCGGGAUUGCAAGUUGGAUGUGAAAACUGCGGGCUCAACCCGGAGAGUGCAUUCAAAACUGCGAUUCUUGAGUGAAGUAGAGGCAAGCGGAAUUCCUAGUGUAGCGGUGAAAUGCGUAGAUAUUAGGAGGAACACCAGUGGCGAAGGCGGCUUGCUGGGCUUUUACUGACGCUGAGGCUCGAAAGUGUGGGGAGCAAACAGGAUUAGAUACC